GUCACCACUCACCACCACCACCCGUCCCUCCCACGCGUCGCCCCUGCCUCCCGCACGCCGCCGCGCCAUCCUCCAACCCCAACGCGCCGCUGCACCACCCCUCCCACCCUAGCGCGCCACCGCGCUGCCACCCCCAUCUGAAGGCGCCACCGCGUCCACAUCUCCGAAACUCGCGCACUUUUACCGCCGGGCCACGAACUGGGCACCUCCCUCUUCACUGUGCCGGCGUCGCCUUCGCCAAUGCGCGCCGGCAGCCUGCCUUCCCCGCACCGGCGGCCUCCCUCCCAACGCGUGCCGACAGCCUUCCUUCCCCGCGCCGGCGGCCUCCCUCCCAUCGCAUGCCAACGGCCACCCUUCCCAGCACCGGCGGCGUCCCUCCCAAAGCACGCUGGCACCUCUGUUCCCCGUGCCGGCGGGGGGCAGCUUCCCUCCGAACGCGUGGCGCAUUUUCCUCCAAUGGAUGUGCACAACUCGUGGCGCUACCUCCUGGUCAGCUGGUUCCCGUCGGCCUCCUCGCACCGGACAAAUCCUCCAGCGGGACCUCGGAAGGCCUGACGCACUCCCUCGAACUAUCGCGCGUCCUCCCUCGAACGGCCGGACUCGUUUACCUCCUCCAAUAUGCGCAGGUUGCUGCUCUCGUCUGCUUCCUCUUUCUUUUUUGAAAUGAGUCUGCUUUCUCUCUCACGAGCAUGAUGCUACUGCUCCUCUCAACUCUCAAUUCUCAUUAUUUACUGUUUCUCCCCUAUAUGAACUGCUGAUGCUACUUCAUCUCUACUUGUUGUGAAAUAAGAUUUUGAUUUCAGAGAAGUCGCAAAACAAAAAGGAAAGAAGAGCCAUGUUUUCUAUUGUUGUUAUUUUGUUGCCCUCGUGGUGUUUACUGAAAUGCCUACAACAACUUAAGGUGUUCUCUUUUUUUAAAAUGAAGUGAAUGUGUUGUACUACUGUUAAGCGCGGUCCUCCUCCCGAGCUCCUCCAUGCGCAUCCGCCUCCCAAGCUAUGCCAUGAGCGGUUGCGCCUGCUCCGCCGUCCAGGCGACCAUCAUGCGUGCCUCCUGACCCCUGCUGUCAGGUUGCGGCCUCUUUCGCUGUCAGGUCACAUCCUCUCCUGCCGUCAGAUCGCAACCUCUUCCUUCUGCACGUCGCCACCUCCUGCUGCUGCAGGCCGUGCCCCAUCCCCCAUUCUCGCGUGGUCGCCAACAAGGAGGUGACCGAUUGUUGAUCCUGAAGUUUCAUCACAUGAUUUUUUGUCUCUGAAUUUUGCACCAAUUCUUGAUCCUGAAGCAUCAAUGCUUGAGCACUGAUUUUUGUGUGUUAGUUCAAAUUUUGCGUCAAGCAGUUCGACAAGGGCGCGUCCCUCAGUACUACGAUGACGAGGCAGACAGCCGCCCUCUUUGUGACCUGCUGCUAUUCCCCAUCUUGCACUGGCGAACUAAUGAUGCGGGAGCUGCCCUGUUCGCUACAACCCCACGUGGAUCUCUCUCUUUCUCCUCUCUUAAAUUCAUUGGAAAAGUUGGUUUCUUGUUCUUGUUGUGUCGUGAAUACCCUCAAGUUGUUUGAUAUUAUUCCUAUGAGAAAACUGAUCCAUAGCAGAUUUUGUUCCAGAGCUGUUCAAAGUUCAGACUUACGUUUUGUGAAGGCAAGGACAAGGAGAAGCCUAUGGAUAACAGUUCGUGUGGAGCUUGGCCAGUUCCUCUGUUCAUGCUGAACUCCAAUACUUGCAUCCGCCACCCCAACGCCGGCGUGUUCCCUCAGUCCUCUCUCGACAAAUCCAACAGUACAGGUUCUCCGGUGUGCCAAGUAUUGCCUGCGGCGAUCCCUACAUCAUGGCCCAUUGAGGAGAUCUUGUGUAUUCCACAUAGAAGAAAUAUUGUCAGUUCAUGAAUAGAGAAUUUCUGUACCAGACUUAAUAUUAGUUCAGUGCGUAUUCUAUCUUCAGUCCACGAAAAAUCACAGAAUAGUUGGUGUGUGUGCACAAAUAUCGUCAGUGCAAGUUUCAAAAUUCUGUAACUUUAGAUAUAUCACCUGAAAAAGUAAUGAU